GACGAACGCUGGCGGCGUGCUUAACACAUGCAGGUCGAACGGAAAGGCCCUGCUUUUGUGGGGUGCUCGAGUGGCGAACGGGUGAGUAACACGUGAGUAACCUGCCCUUGACUUUGGGAUAACUUCAGGAAACUGGGGCUAAUACCGGAUAGGAGCUCCUGCUGCAUGGUGGGGGUUGGAAAGUUUCGGCGGUUGGGGAUGGACUCGCGGCUUAUCAGCUGUUGGUGGGGUAGUGGCUUACCAAGGCUUUGACGGGUAGCCGGCCUGAGAGGGUGACCGGCCACAUUGGGACUGAGAUACGGCCCAGACUCCUACGGGAGGCAGCAGUGGGGAAUAUUGCACAAUGGGCGGAAGCCUGAUGCAGCAACGCCGCGUGCGGGAUGACGGCCUUCGGGUUGUAAACCGCUUUCGCCUGUGACGAAGCGUGAGUGACGGUAAUGGGUAAAGAAGCACCGGCUAACUACGUG
rnacentral:rRNA from 1 species